rnacentral:rRNA from 1 species
GAUGAACGCUGGCGGCGUGCCUAAUACAUGCAAGUCGAGCGAACAGACGAGGAGCUUGCUCCUCUGACGUUAGCGGCGGACGGGUGAGUAACACGUGGAUAACCUACCUAUAAGACUGGGAUAACUUCGGGAAACCGGAGCUAAUACCGGAUAAUAUAUUGAACCGCAUGGUUCAAUAGUGGAAGACGGUUUUGCUGUCACUUAUAGAUGGAUCCGCGCCGCAUUAGCUAGUUGGUAAGGUGACGGCUUACCAAGGCAACGAUGCGUAGCCGACCUGAGAGGGUGAUCGGCCACACUGGAACUGAGACACGGUCCAGACUCCUACGGGAGUCAGCAGUAGGGAAUCUUCCGCAAUGGGCGAAAGCCUGACGGAGCAACGCCGCGUGAGUGAUGAAGGUCUUCGGAUCGUAAAACUCUGUUAUUAGGGAAGAACAAAUGUGUAAGUAACUAUGCACGUCUUGACGGUACCUAAUCAGAAAGCCACGGCUAACUACGUGCCAGCAGCCGCCGUAA